AGGUCAAUAUUCCUGUACCGAUUCUAGAUGCGAUGUGGGGACGGAGAAGGUUAGGUCAGCCGGGUGUUGGACGUCCCGGUUUAAGCGUGUAGGCGUGCCCCUUAGGCAAAUCCGGGGGGCUGAGCUGAGGCGUGAUGACGAGGAACACGGUUCCGAAGUGAUUGAUACCAAGCUUCCAGGAAAAGCCACUAAGCUUCAGUCUAGAGUUGACCGUACCGCAAACCGACACAGGUGGGCAGGAUGAAAAUUCUAAGGCGCUUGAGAGAACUCAGGAGAAGGAACUCGGCAAAUUAACACCGUAACUUCGGGAGAAGGUGUGCCCCGGUAGCGUGUAGAGACUUGCUCUCGAAGCGCGAUGGGGUUGCAGUGAAAUGGUGGCUGCGACUGUUUAAUAAAAACACAGCACUCUGCAAACACGAAAGUGGACGUAUAGGGUGUGACGCCUGCCCGGUGCCGGAAGGUUAAGUGAUGGGGUGCAAGCUCUUGAUCGAAGCCCCGGUAAACGGCGGCCGUAACAAUAACGGUCCUAAGGUAGCGAAAUUCCUUGUCGGGUAAGUUCCGACCUGCACGAAUGGCGUAACGAUGGCCACACUGUCUCCUCCUGGGACUCAGCGAAGUUGAAAUGUUUGUGAAGAUGCAAUCUACCCGCGGCUAGACGGAAGGACCCCAUGAACCUUUACUGUAGCUUUGCAUUGGACUUUGAACCGGUUUGUGUAGGAUAGGUGGGAGACUGUGAAGCCGGGACGCUAGUUUCGGUGGAGUCAACCUUGAAAUACCACCCUGAUUUGUUUGAGGUUCUAACCUUGGUCCGUGAAUCCGGAUCGGGGACCGUGCAUGGUAGGCAGUUUGACUGGGGCGGUCUCCUCCCAAAAGGUAACGGAGGAGUACGAAGGUACGCUUAGGGCGGUCGGACAUCGCCCACAAAGUGCAAUGGCAAAAGCGUGCUUGACUGCGAGACCCACAAGUCGAGCAGGUACGAAAGUAGGUCAUAGUGAUCCGGUGGUUCUGUAUGGAAGGGCCAUCGCUCAACGGAUAAAAGGUACUCUGGAUAACAGGCUAAUUCCUCCCAAGAGUUCAUAUCGACGGGGGAGUUUGGCACCUCGAUGUCGGCUCAUCACAUCCUGGGGCUGUAGUCGGUCCCAAGGGUAUGGCUGUUCGCCAUUUAAAGUGGUACGCGAGCUGGGUUUAAAACGUCGUGAGACAGUUUGGUCCCUAUCUGCCGUGGGCGCUGGAAAUUUGAAGGGGGCUGCUCCUAGUACGAGAGGACCGGAGUGGACGAACCUCUGGUGUACCGGUUAUGACGCCAGUCGUAUCGCCGGGUAGCUAAGUUCGGAAGAGAUAAACACUGAAAGCAUCUAAGCGUGAAACUCGCCUUAAGAUAAGAUUUCCCGGAGUCUUGAACUCCCUGAAGGGUCGUCGAAGACCACGACGUUGAUAGGUCAGGUGUGGAAGCGCAGCAAUGCGUUAAGCUAACUGAUACUAAUUGCCCGUGCGGCUUGAUCA
rnacentral:rRNA from 1 species